GAUGAACGCUGGCGGUAUGCUUAACACAUGCCAGUCGAACGGACUCUUCGGAGUUAGUGGCGGACGGGUGAGUAACGCGUGAGAAUCUGGCUUUGGGUUCGGGACAACCACUGGAAACGGUGGCUAAUACCGGAUGUGCCGAGAGGUAAAAGAGAAAUUGCCUGAAGAUGAGCUCGCGUCUGAUUAGCUAGUUGGUGAGGUAAAGGCUCACCAAGGCAGCGAUCAGUAGCUGGUCUGAGAGGAGGACCAGCCACACUGGGACUGAGACACGGCCCAGACGCCUGCGGGAGGCAGCAGUGGGGAAUUGUCCGCAAUGGGCGAAAGCCUGACGGAGCAAUACCGCGUGAGGGAAGAAGGCUCUUGGGUUGUAAACCUCUUUUCUUAGGGAAGAACAAAAUGACGGUACCUAAGGAAUCAGCAUCGGCUAACUCCGUG
rnacentral:rRNA from 1 species